GGGGGCGACCUGGCUUCGACGGGGGUUGCAAAGCAGAUGAGGGCAUACCGGGAUCUCAGUCACCCCGUAAAACACUGAAUUUAUAUAGUCGCAAACGACGAAACUUACGCUCUAGCUGCUUAAUCCCAGCUGGACUCUGCAGCGGUUCGCUGAUGGGCCGUGGAAGCAAUUCCCGCAGAGUCAUUUCACAUCAGCUCGCCUCGGUUCGGGUCGCUUGAUCCGGGGUUAAACGCAAGGCGACUCGCCGUUGACCAGCCUGCCCGUCGGCGUGUUAACGGUCAAAACCAAAUGACACGGCUAAGUAUGUAGAACUCACUGUAGAGUGCUUCCGGACGGGGGUUCGAUUCCCCCCGCCUCCACCA
rnacentral:tmRNA from 2 species